ACAGCUGAAAAAAACGGCAUCGAUUCACACGCACGUACGAGCGAGGCUUCCUGCCCUCGAGCGAGAACCACUAGCACUCACGACCCGCACAGCAGAUCGUUCGCCGCCGCCCUCCAUCCCUUCGCACCAGAUCCAUCCCUUCGCCGCCGCCGAUCCAUCCGUUCUUCGUGCCCGACGUCGCUGACCCCGCCUCCGCGCCGCUCGCCCGAGCCUUUCUCAGUUCCUCUCCGACGCGGCCGACAAGCCCCCGCAGCUCCUCCCCGUCGAAACCGCGCCCGUCGCCCAACGGCUCUUCCUCGAGUUCCCUGGCUCCGACGAGGGCCCGCCCAAGGCCAAGGGGAAGGGGGGACACGGUGGGAGAGGAGAAUGGAGGGAUCAGGGAGGCGGUGCAGAGGUUCGAGGGGUAGGAGGUCGAGGCGCUCGAGCGGAAGGAGGUCGCCUUCAGGCUCAUCGUUCAGAUGCUCGGGGGCGAGGGCGGGCUGGAGGCCGACAAGGUUGCCAAGGUCAGGAAAGCUGCCGCAUGGCAGGUCCGUUCGCUCACGGAUUUUCUCAAGAAUUAGGCAAUCAUCUCCUCGGACUCAGAGUAGUGAGGAGGGCAUGCGUCAGAGGCCAGUCGGCAGAGGGAGUUCAGGUUUGCGUUUCAUCAGGGGGAUAGUUGUGAGCAAUGCAUAUAUCUAGGUUUCUCUUUUGUUUCUCUCUUGUUGAUGCAAACUUGCUCUGCUUGACUCUGUUUUGGCCUCAAGGCGCAGGCCUUUCUGUAUGUGUGUGUGUGUGUCGUAGGUCUUGAAAGCAUGUAGUAGUAUGUAGCUUGAUUCAUACAUUUCUUCCGUAGCAGCAAGUUUUUCAUGGAGUAUGUUUUCGUGCUAAUCCUGCGAGCUGAUGUUUGCUGUUGUACUCAUGCUGGCAGAGAUAAUGCGUGUGUCCUCCUUGCUUAAGCACCAGCCUGAUGGGGACUUUGAGAGGUUGCCGCCGAUGGCGCGUCCAAACCAGAUGCAUCAUCAUCAGUCGCCCCCAAUGCCUAAUUUCCGUGGAAAUGGUUUUGGCCCGUGGAACCACAGGGCGCAUCCAGAGAGGGUAGGUUUUCCUCAAGGACCCGUGGGUUGGCAAGGAGCACCACAAAGCCCCUCUCCAUACAUUGUCAAGAAGAUUUUGCGGUUGGAGAUACCAACAGAUACUUACCCUAAUUUCAAUUUUAUUGGCCGUCUUCUUGGGCCAAAGGGAAACUCGUUGAAGAGGAUUGAAGCCACUACAGGUUGUCGUGUUUUUAUCAGAGGGAAGGGCUCAAUUAAAGAUCCUGGGAAGUAACCUACCACGCGCGCCGAGGCGAGGGCCUCGUGGACUCCGUCCAUCGCCGCUUGGCCGACGACCCUGCCGCUUGGCCGAGGACCUCGUGAUGUAUCAAUUAUUUCUCAGCUUGGCGCAUGCAUUACGGCAGCACGCCGCGCGCAGUUUCCUUGGAUUCUAUUUCAUCUCCUCCCGUCCGCUUCCUCUAAUUGUGAGUUUUGGUUGUAAUGUGUUUUACAGAUUCCCAUCUACUGUACUUCCUAUGUAGUGCAUAUCCCGUUCCUCCUUUUACAGGCUUCUCAAAUCAUUCGUUCGUUCGUGCUGGUCAUCCUCCUACAUCUGCCUGUCUCGCUCUCCGAUUGAUUAAUCGUGUUCAUUGGGAUUUAAAAAGAGGAACAUGGAUUUUUGUUGGUGACUUGUAAGCAGCAACAAGAUCUUGCAAUUUCUAAUUUUCUAGCCAUCCACGUGAGUACAGAUCAGGCGAGUACCUCGGGGCAGAGCCCGCGCUGCCGUACCUGAGCCCCUACAUGCGCGGCGAGAACCUGCUCGUCGGCGCAAACUUCGCGUCCACCGGCGUCGACAUCCUCAACGACACAGGCGUGCAAUUUGAUCGCGCAGCAGCUGCAGAACUUCCAGGACUACCAGCAGAGGCUGGCGGCGUACGUCGGCGAGGACGCGGCGAGUGAGCGCAUGAGCCAGUCGCUAUUGCUCAUCACGCUUGGUGGCAACGACUUCGUCAACAACUACUGCCUGGUGCCCUUCUCCGCUAGGUCCCAGCAGUUCGAGAUCCACAGCUACAUCCCCUUCAUCAUCUCCGAGUACAAGAAAGUCCUCGCGGGUGAUAUGGAUGAAGGAAAAGAGGCCAGCAGUGCUGAGCUAAACAAUUCAGGGAGGUAUUGGAUUGGCCUCUGUAGAAACUAUGGCACCUAAUCUUGGGCCCCUAGAAGAAGGAAACUCAACAUGCGUGAUUCUCAUUAGAGGCAACCAGACCGUUGUUGAAAAUAUUGAUGAUUCCUGUUGUGUAUUCCCAAGGAAUGGUCAGGUUUAGUACUGACCGUUGCGGUGCGUAGAAGAAAGGUGCCACUUUCACUUAGUUCUCUCAGUUCUAAGUUGGGACUGCAAAAAUUUGAGGAUUUCCCCACAUGUGAGUUGCCUUGAUUAGUUUUGGCUUAGUUAUUGAAAUGAACUGGAAGUAACUUCUGAAUUUGUUUGACUUUGGACUUGCAUGAGACCUGAAGUUUCUGCUUCUAGCAUUUCUCUUUUGUAAGCAGCAUGGCAAACCCGGUUUCAAAGUAAAGACCUGAGGAAGAAUGUAGAUUGAUCACUGUGAUUUCAAGUCCUUAAGGUGAUUGAUCACUGUGGUAAUUCAUUCUUUUGUCAAAAUUUGAUUACAAUUGGGGUUGGAGGGAAGCAACAAAAUCCCUAUCCUGUAAUAGACGUUUUUGGUGUGUGACUUGAUAGUUGUUCAGGUCGAUACAAAAUUUCAUUCAUGUGGUUUUUAAGGCAUUUGAAUUUAACAUUGUUUUUAUGUUUGUCUAAGAGCUGGAGCUGUUAAGACUUGAGACAAAUAUAUACAGGGCCACAAGGGCCUACAAGAUCCAAUUCAUAAGAAAGUUGAGGCACAUUAAUCAAACGCCAACCCACCUGCUAUUGGCACUAAAUGAGGAAGGAAAAAGAACAUUGUCCCUGAAGGCUCGAGAUACACAAACAGGCAACUGAGUUUGGGAAAGGUGGUUGUCUCCUUGACGCACACCAUGGUGCCCUUGUCUACUCUCUGUCUUCUUCCUUGGACAUGUAUUUUAUUUCAAGCUUUGGUAAGUGGUCCGUACUGACAAAUGAAAUACGCAGAAAAAGAUACUUAUGUUGUUUUGUUCUUGCAGACACCUUAUUUACUCGUAGUAGGUUCUCUCGUACCAUUUUUCGGUGGAGUUGUACUGGCAUCCUUGACUGAAGUUUCUUUCAACUGGUUAAUUAUAAUCUUCCCAUUUCUGAAAUUUCAAAGUCAAAUGAUUGGGGAAUGCAUCACACUAUCCAUUAGUUCAGUCAAGCUCACAUUAUUGGCAAUUGAGUUAAGUCUUAUAUUUAUAUGCCUGUAACACUCAAAACUUUCUAAAAUGAGAAGUGAUGUGUUAAUUUUUGAAGAGACUGUGAUUAUGUUACAAGCAUAUACAUCACUGGCAAUGCGAAAAAAAACUAAUAAUACCUUUUCUUGUUAUUUUAGCUAAAAUAAUGGAGCACAUUUUAUUUUAUUUUAUUUGCAAUCUGAAGCCUUGGUUGUACUUCAGUCUCUGGCAAUUGGUUUAUUUCUUGUGGUCAAUUUUGGAGCAGAUGAUGGAUUGUUGGUUGUAGUGAUUUAAUAUUUUAAUGACUAUUCAUAUCAAUGAUUAUGCUUGGCCCCAUGAGAAACACAUGAAGAAGAAACGAUUGUGAGAUAGGGAGGGGAAUAGAGAGAUGACGAGGAGAUGCAUUUAUCUACCACAUCACAAGCAUGAAAUAUCAUCACAUGUCAAUUGUCUAUGACUCCCAUAUCAUAUAAAUAGAAAUCCUAUAUUUUUGUUUCUUGUGAAGUUGCUUCACUUUAUUCCCUUCCUGUUAGAGUUGAUGCUUGAGAUCUAGGGCCUAAACAAUUUGUGACCAUAGACUGCUCAGAGUUGUCCUAUUUGAUCUUCAAGUGCAACCCUUCCAUUGUUCUAUUGCAUCUCCGAGCCAUAUUAGCAUACAUUUCUAAUCAAAAUGGACUACCGGAUUUACUUCAUGUCAGUUGUUACUAUCUCUUAGAAAUUCUUUCUGCAUUCAUCAUAUAAGCAAUUAAAUUCACUAUCAGCGAAGUUCACUGCAAGUUUGCUGCACAAUUUUUAUUUGAUAGAUACACGUGAGAUUUUUUUACGCUUGUUGAAUAUAUGAAUAAUUCAUUUGAGAACAGAGACAAAACAUGACAAGAAAGGGGAACAACUAACCUACAUGGAGCUUGGUCAAGGUCGCCGCUCAUGUUUGAUGGCAUUGUUUCUGGUUCCACUGACAUUGUCGAUGCCUGUUACCUAUGGCCCUGUUGCUGCUUUCCUCGAUAGGGCGUGGUCCAUCAGCCACUGCAUGCAGACAAUAGAAUUUAGGCCAGCAAUUGUCGCUUAUCUACUAUCUAUGCUACAGAUCGACCCAUAGACAGGGAAAGGAAGCGAUGGCUGGUGGGGAGAGGAGCCGGGGGACGUGUUGUGACGGGACAAGAGGCGCAGUGGCAGGGAGAGAAGUUGAAGACUACGCCAUGUGAGUUGCUGAAGCUGUGCCUUAUGCGGUGGGGAUAAGGGAUGUGUGAUGUGCUUGUGUGGUGAGAGACGAGGAGUGGCUUUUCCUUUUUGUGGGAGGCUGUUCAUAUUUGUCUAUUCUAUUUUUAUAUUCAAGAUACAUACAAUUAUUUAUCAUCAUUAUAAUCGAGAUAAUAAAUAUUUAUUUAUUCCAUUAA